UGCGAACUCCUACGGGAGGCAGCAGUGGGGAAUUUUGGGCAAUGGGGGCAACCCUGAUCCAGCAAUGCCGCGUGAGUGAAGAAGGCCUUCGGGUUGUAAAGCUCUUUUGUCAGGGAAGAAACGGUAGUAGCUAAUAUCUAUUACUAAUGACGGUACCUGAAGAAUAAGCACCGGCUAACUACGUGCCAGCAGCCGCGGUAAUACGUAGGGUGCAAGCGUUAAUCGGAAUUACUGGGCGUAAAGCGUGCGCAGGCGGUUGUGUAAGUCAGAUGUGAAAUCCCCGGGCUCAACCUGGGAAUUGCAUUUGAGACUGCCCUGCUAGAGUGUGUCAGAGGGGGGUAGAAUUCCGCGUGUAGCAGUGAAAUGCGUAGAUAUGUGGAGGAAUACCUAUGGCGAAAGCAGCCCCCAGGGAUAACACUGUCGCUCAUGCACGAAAGCGUGGGGAGCAAACAGGUUUAGAAACCCUUGUGGUCCAGAUG
rnacentral:rRNA from 1 species